AGGAUAUUUGAGAGGAGCUGUUCCUAGUACGAGAGGACCGGAAUGGACGAACCAAUGGUGUUCCAGUUGUCGCGCCAGCGGCAUUGCUGGGUAGCUAAGUUCGGAAUGGAUAACCGCUGAAAGCAUCUAAGCGGGAAGCCAACCUCAAGAUAAGAUAUCCCUCUGUAUGGCAACAUACAGACUAAAGACCCCUUGUAGACUACAAGGUUGAUAGGCCAGGUGUGUAAGUGCGGCAACGCAUUUAGCUUACUGGUACUAAUCGGUCGUGCGGCUUGGCCGCA
rnacentral:rRNA from 1 species